rnacentral:rRNA from 1 species
UGGGGAAUAUUGCACAAUGGGCGAAAGCCUGAUGCAGCAACGCCGCGUGAGUGAUGAAGGUCUUCGGAUUGUAAAGCUCUGUCUUUUGGGACGAUAAUGACGGUACCAAAGGAGGAAGCCACGGCUAACUACGUGCCAGCAGCCGCGGUAAUACGUAGGUGGCGAGCGUUGUCCGGAUUUACUGGGCGUAAAGGGUGCGUAGGCGGAUGUUUAAGUGGGAUGUGAAAUACCCGGGCUUAACUUGGGUGCUGCAUUUCAAACUGGAUAUCUAGAGUGCAGGAGAGGAGAAUGGAAUUCCUAGUGUAGCGGUGAAAUGCGUAGAGAUUAGGAAGAACACCAGUGGCGAAGGCGAUUCUCUGGACUGUAACUGACGCUGAGGCACGAAAGCGUGGGUAGCAAACAGGAUUAGAUACCCUGGUAGUCCACGCCGUAAACGAUGAGUACUAGGUGUAGGAGGUAUCGACCCCUUCUGUGCCGCAGUAAAACACAUUAAAGACUCCGCCUGGGAAGUACGAUCGCAAGAUUAAAAAC